rnacentral:RNase_P_RNA from 1 species
GUCAGCCGGAGAGCGGGUGCCGGGCUUGCUCGGCGACGGGCAAGCCCGAGGAAGCUCCGCCAAUCCGCGGGCCUGCGCCGCUGUAAGGCGGUGGGGGAGAUCCCCAGGCAACGGCUCAGAAACGGGACCUCUCCCCAUCCGUGAGUAUGAUGCGGUGGGGCCGUAGGGUCCCCGCAGGCUUCCCGGUAACGGGGAGCGAUCCGCUGAGGAGGUGGGGAGAUAGGUUGAAACGGCCGUCCCGCAGGGAGGGCCAAAUCGGGCCUAUGAGGUCCCGCGAGGAGGCCUGGGUAGGCCCAUAGAUGGAUCCCGCUUAGAAACAGAAGGCGGGCUACUACCGGCUGAC